ACUCUAAGGACUGGAACGCCACUUGCUCUCGCAUCCUCUCCCACCCUAAGCUCUCCUCCGCCAUCUCCGUCAACCCUUUGGCUCCUGUUGCUACAAGAGGUUUUUGACAAGGUUAUGUCGGAGCCAAUUCGAUCCCAUUUAGUUAUUGCAAGUGUUGGUCCUGGAUUUGAAUUCAAUGAUGUUCUCCAAUUCAUGGUAGAAAAUU